UGCAGAAUUCCGCGAAUCAUCGAGUCUUUGAACGCAAGUUGCGCCCGAGGCUUGUCCGAGGGCAUUUCCGCUAGAGCGUCACC
rnacentral:rRNA from 1 species